rnacentral:rRNA from 1 species
GGGUUGUGAGGUUAAGCGACUAAGCGUACACGGUGGAUGCCCGGCAGUCAGAGGCGAUGAAGGGCGUGCUAAUCUGCGAUAAGCGCCGGUAAGGUGAUAUGAACCGUUAUAACCGGCGAUACCCGAAUGGGGAAACCCAGUGUGAUUCGUCACACUAUCAUUAACUGAAUCCAUAGGUUAAUGAGGCGAACCGGGGGAACUGAAACAUCUAAGUACCCCGAGGAAAAGAAAUCAACCGAGAUUCCCCCAGUAGCGGCGAGCGAACGGGGAGGAGCCCAGAGCCUGAAUCAGCAUGUGUGUUAGUGGAAGCGUCUGGAAAGGCGCGCGAUACAGGGUGACAGCCCCGUACACAAAAGCGCAUGUGCUGUGAGCUCGAUGAGUAGGGCGGGACACGUGGUAUCCUGUCUGAAUAUGGGGGGACCAUCCUCCAAGGCUAAAUACUCCUGACUGACCGAUAGUGAACCAGUACCGUGAGGGAAAGGCGAAAAGAACCCCGGCGAGGGGAGUGAAAAAGAACCUGAAACCGUGUACGUACAAGCAGUGGGAGCACAGGUUUACCUGUGUGACUGCGUACCUUUUGUAUAAUGGGUCAGCGACUUAUAUUCUGUAGCAAGGUUAACCGUAUAGGGGAGCCGCAGGAAACCGAGUCUUAAUUGGGCGUUAAGUUGCAGGGUAUAGACCCGAAACCCGGUGAUCUAGCCAUGGGCAGGUUGAAGGUUGGGUAACACUAACUGGAGGACCGAACCGACUAAUGUUGAAAAAUUAGCGGAUGACCUGUGGCUGGGGUGAAAGGCCAAUCAAACCGGGAGAUAGCUGGUUCUCCCCGAAAGCUAUUUAGGUAGCGCCUCGUGAAUUCAUCUCCGGGGUAGAGCACUGUUUCGGCUAGGGGCCAUCCCGGCUUACCAACCCGAUGCAAACUGCGAAUACCGGAGAAUGUUAUCACGGGAGACACACGGCGGGUGCUAACGUCCGUCGUGAAGAGGGGAAAAAACCCAGACCGCCAGCUAAGGUCCCAAAGUCAUGGUUAAGUGGGAAACGAUGUGGGAAGGCCCAGACAGCCAGGAUGUUGGCUUAGAAGCAGCCAUCAUUUAAAGAAAGCGUAAUAGCUCACUGGUCGAGUCGGCCUGCGCGGAAGAUGUAACGGGGCUAAACCAUGCACCGAAGCUGCGGCAGCGACACUGUGUGUUGUUGGGUAGGGGAGCGUUCUGUAAGCCUGCGAAGGUGGCCUGUGAGGGUUGCUGGAGGUAUCAGAAGUGCGAAUGCUGACAUAAGUAACGAUAAAGCGGGUGAAAAGCCCGCUCGCCGGAAGACCAAGGGUUCCUGUCCAACGUUAAUCGGGGCAGGGUGAGUCGACCCCUAAGGCGAGGCCGAAAGGCGUAGUCGAUGGGAAACGGGUUAAUAUUCCCGUACUUGGUGUUACUGCGAAGGGGGACGGAGAAGGCUAUGUUGGCCGGGCGACGGUUGUCCCGGUUUAAGCGUGUAGGUGUGUGUUCGGGUAAAUCCGGUUCACUUUAACACUGAGGCGUGACGACGAGGCACUACGGUGCUGAAGCAACAAAUGCCCUGCUUCCAGGAAAAGCCUCUAAGCAUCAGGUAACAUCAAAUCGUACCCCAAACCGACACAGGUGGUCAGGUAGAGAAUACCAAGGCGCUUGAGAGAACUCGGGUGAAGGAACUAGGCAAAAUGGUGCCGUAACUUCGGGAGAAGGCACGCUGACACGUAGGUGAAGUGAUUUACUCACGGAGCUGAAGUCAGUCGAAGAUACCAGCUGGCUGCAACUGUUUAUUAAAAACACAGCACUGUGCAAACACGAAAGUGGACGUAUACGGUGUGACGCCUGCCCGGUGCCGGAAGGUUAAUUGAUGGGGUCAGCGCAAGCGAAGCUCCUGAUCGAAGCCCCGGUAAACGGCGGCCGUAACUAUAACGGUCCUAAGGUAGCGAAAUUCCUUGUCGGGUAAGUUCCGACCUGCACGAAUGGCGUAAUGAUGGCGGCUGUCUCCACCCGAGACUCAGUGAAAUUGAACUCGCUGUGAAGAUGCAGUGUACCCGCGGCAAGACGGAAAGACCCCGUGAACCUUUACUAUAGCUUGACACUGAACAUUGAGCCUUGAUGUGUAGGAUAGGUGGGAGGCUUUGAAGUGUGGACGCCAGUCUGCAUGGAGCCGACCUUGAAAUACCACCCUUUAAUGUUUGAUGUUCUAACGUGGACCCGUAAUCCGGGUUGCGGACAGUGUCUGGUGGGUAGUUUGACUGGGGCGGUCUCCUCCUAAAGAGUAACGGAGGAGCACGAAGGUUGGCUAAUCCUGGUCGGACAUCAGGAGGUUAGUGCAAUGGCAUAAGCCAGCUUGACUGCGAGCGUGACGGCGCGAGCAGGUGCGAAAGCAGGUCAUAGUGAUCCGGUGGUUCUGAAUGGAAGGGCCAUCGCUCAACGGAUAAAAGGUACUCCGGGGAUAACAGGCUGAUACCGCCCAAGAGUUCAUAUCGACGGCGGUGUUUGGCACCUCGAUGUCGGCUCAUCACAUCCCGGGCUGAAGUAGGUCCCAAGGGUAUGGCUGUUCGCCAUUUAAAGUGGUACGCGAGCUGGGUUUAGAACGUCGUGAGACAGUUCGGUCCCUAUCUGCCGUGGGCGCUGGAGAACUGAGGGGGGCUGCUCCUAGUACGAGAGGACCGGAGUGGACGCAUCACUGGUGUUCGGGUUGUCAUGCCAAUGGCACUGCCCGGUAGCUAAAUGCGGAAGAGAUAAGUGCUGAAAGCAUCUAAGCACGAAACUUGCCCCGAGAUGAGUUCUCCCUGAGACUUAGAGUCUCCUGAAGGAACGUUGAAGACGACGACGUUGAUAGGCCGGGUGUGUAAGCGCAGCGAUGCGUUGAGCUAACCGGUACUAAUGAACCGUGAGGCUUAACCUUACAACGCCGAAG